CGGGGCGUAGCGCAGUCUGGUAGCGCGCCUGCUUUGGGAGCAGGAUGUCGGGAGUUCGAAUCUCUUCGCCCCGACCA
rnacentral:tRNA from 2 species